UGAGACACCCCGAGUUGUGCUUCAUGAGA
rnacentral:piRNA from 1 species